rnacentral:rRNA from 1 species
UACGUAGGGAGCAAGCGUUGUUCGGAAUUACUGGGCGUAAAGAGUGUGUAGGCGGUGUUCUAAGUCUGGUGUGAAAUCUCCCGGCUCAACUGGGAGGGUGCGCUAGAAACUGGAAUGCUAGAGGAUGGGAGAGGUAAGCGGAAUUCCUGGUGUAGCGGUGAAAUGCGUAGAUAUCAGGAGGAACACCUGUGGUGUAGACAGCUUACUGGACCAUUUCUGACGCUGAGACACGAAAGCGUGGGUAGCAAACAGG